UGUGCAUCGACUACAUGGUAAUUUUUGUGCAGAACACACUGUAUACAUGCGAUUUUAUUUGUUGACUUCCUUUUCUUCUAUGGUAGGUUAAGAGUUUUGUUCACUUAAUUUUGGUUUCAUUUAGAAAUAGAUGAAGCUAUCCUCUUGGUUUUACAUUAGAGGGUCACCGGUUUAAUUGGGUCUCUGCUUGUUGAUUUUUAAUUGUAAAAUGUGGGUGACAAUGGCUUGGUACAAUUGAGGAUAGAAAGAGUGCACUGACAGAACAAAGCAUCUACCAUAAUCAAAUACACGUGUUAAUUUGAGAGCCAGAUUGGUUUCCUAUAUGUCUAUAUGUAGUAGGUUCUUGGCAUGCUGAGAUGUCCUAUUUUGCA
rnacentral:misc_RNA from 1 species